rnacentral:rRNA from 1 species
GGAUGUGAUGGGGAGCGAAAUUUAGUAGCGAAGUAGCUGAUUUCACACUGUCAAGAAAAGUCUCUAUCGAGGUUAAAGGUACCCGUACCGCAAACCGACACAGGUGGGUGAGGAGAGUAUCCUAAGGCCAGCGAGAGAACUGUUGUUAAGGAACUCGGCAAAAUGACCCCGUAACUUAGGGAUAAGGGGUGCCACCAUCAGGUGGCCGCAGAGAAUAGGCCCAAGCGACUGUUUACCAAAAACAUAGGUUUCUGCUAAGUCGCAAGACGAUGUAUAGGAGCUGACGCCUGCCCGGUGCUGGAAGGUUAAGGGGAUCUGUUAGAGCAAUCGAAGCAGUGAACUUAAGCCCCAGUAAACGGCGGCCGUAACUAUAACGGUCCUAAGGUAGCGAAAUUCCUUGUCGGGUAAGUUCCGACCCGCACGAAAGGCGUAACGAUUUGGGCACUGUCUCAACAACAGACUCGGUGAAAUUGUAAUUCCGGUGAAGAUGCCGGAUACCUGCGACAGGACGGAAAGACCCCAUGGAGCUUUACUGUAGCUUGACAUUGGGUCUUGGUACUACAUGUACAGGAUAGGUGGGAGGCUUUGAAACCAGGACGCCAGUUUUGGCGGAGCCAUCCUUGGGAUACCACCCUUGUAGUACUGGGACUCUAACCAUAGGCCAUGAAUCUGGUCUUGGGACACUGUCAGGUGGGCAGUUUGACUGGGGCGGUCGCCUCCCAAAAGGUAACGGAGGCGCUCAAAGGUUCUCUCAGUACGGUCGGAAAUCGUACGUAGAGUGUAAAGGCAAAAGAGAGCUUGAUUGCAAGACAUACAGGUCGAGCAAGGAUGAAAAUCGGACUUAGUGAUCCGGUGGUUCUGCGUGGAAGGGCCAUCGCUCAACGGAUAAAAGCUACCCUGGGGAUAACAGGCUUAUCUCCCCCAAGAGUCCACAUCGACGGGGAGGUUUGGCACCUCGAUGUCGGCUCAUCACAUCCUGGGGCUGUAGUAGGUCCCAAGGGUUGGGCUGUUCGCCCAUUAAAGUGGUACGCGAGCUGGGUUCAGAACGUCGUGAGACAGUUCGGUCCCUAUCCGUCGCAGGCGUAGGAAAUUUGAGAAGACCUGUCCUUAGUACGAGAGGACCGGGAUGGACGUACCUCUG